CGUCAGCUGAUCUACAGAUGGGGAACGGAAAACUUUUCAAGGGCAGCCUUUGAGAUGGUCGUGUUCUGUGUUUGUCCAGCACCUUCAAACCAGGUACAAAUAACCCAAACCGCCCUUGAGAAUAAAACGCAAUCUGAGCCGUCUGGUUUUCAGAGGUGUCAUUCAUUUGCAGACAUUUGAUGAUUUUACUGAUGAAUAAACUAGGAUGACUCUAAAUAUUCAUAUUUACUCUCCCCAAGGACUGUGAGUCCAUAACCACCUUAUCACAAUGAGAUGUAUUGUUCUCUGAGCACUCUGUCAUUUUCGUUAUCCAUGCCUAUGGUAUCAAAUCCCAUAAGAUAAAAAUUAUUUUUAAAAAUACAACUUUUUACAUUUUCUGCCUGAGGUUCUCCAGUUUGGGGCGGCACAGUGGUGUAGUGGUUAGCACUGUCACCUCACCACAAGAAGGUUGUAGGUUCAAAUCCGACUCAGGGCAUUUCUUAGUGGAGUUUGCAUGUUCUCCCUGUGUCUGCAUGGGUUUACUCCGAGUACUUUAGUUUCCUCCCACAUCCCAAAAACAUGCCUAAAUUGGGUUAGGUUAAUUGGCCACUUCCAAAUUGCCUGUAGGUGUGAAUGUGAGCAUGGAUGGUUGUUUGUCUCUGUAUGUAAGCCCCGCAACGAACUGGCGAGUUGUCCAGGGUAUCCCCUGCCUUUGCCCGGAGAUGCUGGGAUAGGCUUCAGCCCCCCCGCGACCCCAGGAAUGAGAAUAAGCGGUGGAAAAUGGAUGGAUGGAUGGGUUCUCCAGUUUGUCUUUUGUCUGUUGCCAAGCAUGACAAAGGCCCGUAAUGUAGGCUAAAAAAUCUAUCACGAUAAGUUUUACCAUUCUGGCGAUAAAGAUAAAAGUCCCGAUAAAAAAUAUUAUAAUUCUAAUUAAUAUUUUUGACUAAUUCCGUCUUGAGAACACCAGUUGGAAAAGUCAAAUAAGAUACGUAACCACAAGUUUGAGUGGUAGUUUAUGGAGAAAACUAAUGACAUCGUACAAAUCUCAAACGUGAAAACAUUUUAAACAUUUAUUGAAAAUUCUUAUAGCACAGAGUGAACAGCAGCAGAUCUACUGUCCAAUGUCAGGCAUACCUGAUUGCGCUCAUCUAAGCUCCAAUCUUGAAGCCGUGGAGCCUCGUUCAGUAACAAGCAAAUGUGAAAAUCUCAAGACACUUGACAAAAAGAGCAGUUAAGUCAAGGUAUUUGAAAAAUUAAUGUUAGCAUUGAAACAGGGAUAAUAACGAUGAGGCUGAUGGUCUUUUUAGGUUCCUUUUUCCGUGGGCCCAGUCUGAUCUAUGAUAUCAAAACUCCUCCAUGGUUAGUAAAACAGUGUGUUGACCCCCCCUGCUCUCUCUCUCUGUGAGUGUGUUGGUGUGCUCCUGGUUAAACUGCCAUUAAAGCCAGUCGAUGUGCUCCUCGGUGUCGUGAUAGGCCCCGGCUGCACUGAGAUGACCAUAAUGAAUCAAACUUAGCUGACUCUGACCUCUCCUCCGGGCACUGUGUGUAUGUGUGUAAAUGGACGAGAAGCAAGGUCGAUGACGGCCCUCCUACAGUCCAUUACCAUCACCACCCUCCAACUAUCUGUGAUGGCAGCUGCAGUGAUGCAGAGUAUCUGGCCAAAAGUGAUAGAGGUGGAUGCACAGCGAUUCUUCACCAUCUAAAGCUUCGAAGAAAAGAUGUUUUCAGUAAAAACGGGAAAAUAAUCUGGUUACAUAAAGAGAUAAAUACGUCAUCAAACAUGAAUUCUCUUGUAUUCGUAGUUACAAAAUUAAGACUCUGUAUCUGGAUGUAUGAACUCGCAAGUUUCUUGUUUUGUUGUUUGGACUUGAAACCCACAUUUUCUCUGCUGAGGAUAUUUGAGACUUUGGAGCCACAACAGUUAGACACCAUUAAGGAUCUAUCAGUACUCUGCUAAUGACCAUAAAGUACAAUGUGUACAUCAGUAUGCUGACUUUCUAAGGCUUCAAUCAGUUUUGUCCUGUCACUAGUGUGUACAGGUUUAAAGACCCUCAUAUUUUAUCCCUAAAUUUUUUAGUUUAUUUGCGGGUGAGAUGAUUAAUCUGCACUGUAACAUCUGAGUCAUACUAAUUAAUCUUUUUAUACCACCAUUUUUCUUCUUGUUCUCCAUUCAGGAUUUGCAGUUUAGUCAUUUCAUGUGUAUAUUCACAUGUAUACUUUUGCAGUUUACUGAUCAGACUUCCUCCUCUUCAGGAUCUGUUUCUUCUCUUAGCUUUCUCUGUCCUCUUUUACAUCUGCCAUGAUUAUACAGGCGCGCAGAAAAAAUGGUAUCAUGAAGCUUGCUUCGUGGCUUUCUCUGCAAUAAAGCUUUAUCCACUUAGUUCUCGCCGGGUGUCGUAAAUGCUCGACCCAAGUAAGCACAAGAACAGACGCUCAGAGUGUUGCAUGUAAAGAAAAUGAGCAAAGACAUCAGAUUUAAGUAACUUCUCUGUUAUGUAAACGCAGAAAAAGCCCUGAACAUUAUACAGAAUAUUCCUUCAGUGAUGUUUUUUAGUGUAGGAUACAUCAGAAGAGCUUUGACUCACAGCUCCCGUACCCUGAGGUGUUCGAAUUAUAACUCGAGCACACUAAUUGACCCCUUCUGCGGCCUAUAAUUCAUUUUACAGUGAGGUGAGAGGAAUCCAGGAUGAGCUAUAUGGG
rnacentral:lncRNA from 1 species